GCAGACUCACUCUGUCCCUCGCUGUACAAUCCAGCUUGGUACUUUUUCUGUCUGCUACAUAAGACCGCAGUGUAUAAAUCUUGCUUGCCUUGUUGUAGGCAAGUGUUUUUAUAGUCUGGAACAUGUUA